rnacentral:rRNA from 1 species
UACGAAGGGGGCUAGCGUUGUUCGGAAUUACUGGGCGUAAAGGGCGCGUAGGCGGUCUUGUAAGUCAGAUGUGAAAGCCCCGGGCUCAACCCGGGAAUAGCAUUUGAUACUGCGAGGCUUGAGUCCGGGAGAGGAUGGCGGAAUUCCCAGUGUAGAGGUGAAAUUCGUAGAUAUUGGGAAGAACACCGGUGGCGAAGGCGGCCAUCUGGACCGGUACUGACGCUGAGGCGCGAAAGCGUCGGGAGCAAACAGG